rnacentral:rRNA from 1 species
CGCCUGUUUAUUAAAAACAUGGCCUUUUGUUUUACACAUAUAAAAGGUUUGACCUGCCCGGUGACUGUAGUAGUUUAACGGCCGCUUUAUUUGUGCUAAGGUAGCACGGUGAGUAGCCCUUUAAUUGAGGGAUUGUAUGAAUGGUUGGACACGGAGAGACUGUUUCCAAUAUAAUAAGUAGAAGUUUCUUUUCAAGUGAAAAAGCUUGAGUUUUUGUAAAAGACGAGAAGACCCUGUCGAACUUAAUUAAAACCUAGUAUAUUUAAUUUUUUACCUUAUUUGUUUUGUUUUGUUAAAUUAGUUUUGUUGUUAUGACUCAUGUCUUAGUUAAGAAGUGUUGUUACAAUAAAGAUUUUAUUAAUUUUUGAAAUUGGGUGUGGAAAAUUUAUUUUAGUUUUGAAUUUUUGUUGGGGCAACAGAAGUCUAUUAAACGAUAUCUUGUUGGAUAAAGACCCUGUAUGAUGGUUUAAAAGCAAAAGUUACCGCAGGGAUAACAGCGUAAUUUUUUUUUGUAAUUGUAUCGAGAAAAGAGUUUACGACCUCGAUGUUGAAUUAAGAAACCUUUAUGGCGCAGGAGCUAUAGGAGGAAAACUGUUCGUUUUUUAAUUUCUUACAUGAUCUGAGUUCAGACCGG